CAAGCUAUUCAGUAUAAGUCACAUUGAACAUGCCGAUGCAGGAAGCGUGUACAACAGUAUCCGACAGACAUGCAUCGAUAACAGUCUUCCGUUCUCAUCCAUUGUGUCAGCAGCCGCUGACGGUGCAUCUGUCAACUUCGGGUCACGAACUGGUGUACUAACACGCAUGGUGGACGAUGUACCAUGGUUGCUGCCAAUUCACUGUCUGGCGCACAGAUUGGAACUUGCACUCAAAGAUGCAUUUAAUUCACCUAUGCACCUAUGCACCUAUUUCUGUAUGGUCAUAGAUGAGCUACUGAUGAGAAUGCACUACUUCUACAAAAAAUCGGCCAAGCGAUUCCGUGAAUUGAAGAC